UACGUAGGGUGCGAGCGUUGUCCGGAAUUAUUGGGCGUAAAGAGCUCGUAGGCGGUGUGUCACGUCGGCCGUGAAAACCUGCAGCUUAACUGUGGGCGUGCGGUCGAUACGGGCAUCACUGGAGUUCGGCAGGGAGACUGGAAUCCUGGUGUAGCGGUGAAAUGCGCAGAUAUCAGGAGGAACACCGGUGGCGAAGGCGGGUCUCUGGCCGAUACUGACGCUGAGGAGCGAAAGCGUGGGGAGCAAACAGG
rnacentral:rRNA from 1 species